UUACUGCAGCCUCAACUUCCUGGGCUUAAGCGAUCCUCCUACCUCAGCCUCCCAAGUAGCUGAGAACACAGGUGCGUACCACCACACCAGCUAAUUUUUCUUUUCUUUUUUUUUUUCUGUAGAGAUGGGAGCCUCACUGUAUUGCCCAGGCUGGUCUUGAACUCCGGAGCUCAAGUGAUCGUCUUGCUUCAGCCUUGCAAAAUGAUGGUGAAGCUGCAUCAUUGUCUGGGAUGGAGUCCCUGUCUGACCGGGCCAUGUUGUAUGUUCCUUGCUGUACACGUGGUUGACAAAGAAAAGGGAAGAUGGAGCUGCGAUGUUGGACAUGCCUGGCCCCCAGGACAUACAGCCCUGCCGAGCAAAUAAUGAACGUAACUCACAAACUUCCUGCUUAUCAUCAAACGCACGCAUCCACUUAUCAUCAAACACCUCGGGUGACAGAAGAAUGCAGGUCAGCUCCCUGCUGCCUUGGCAUUAUCAAUCAGCCCAGGAACCAUCCUAUAAAAUCUCCAGCAAGCCUUUGUUUCCUUGCAGUCAGCUCCUCUUCCACUGAUUCUGCCUGUUGCUCCCUGAUAAC
rnacentral:lncRNA from 10 species